GGUGGAGGCGGAUGAGGAGCUGCGGCCGCUGCGCUAGUCAGGGUCCUCGGAGCUCGAGCACCGGAAGGGGCAGGUGAUGCGAGAAGGAAGCAGCCGUUCCUCCCAAGGCGCUUGGAAGGGGCCGUGCACGGCCCCCGCGUGCUGUCCCAGCCCAGACGGUGGGCGUGGGGAGGAAGAGGAAGGGCGUCACCGGCACGCAGGCCCCUGCCGAGCUGGCCAAGAGGAACGGAGGCCGCAGAUGGUGAUGGCCACAGAGGACGGAGGGAGCUCGGCUGGCUGCGGGAAUCGUCUCUUUCUAGCGCCCUGCACCUUUGUCAGGAGCACGGGUGGAGCCGGAAACAGCAUGGCCGACCUGGCGCGGUGGAAGUGUGCUGAGGCAAGGGCCUUAAGCUCUUCUGAUGAGCCAGGCAUGGUGGUGCCUGCAAUCCCAGCACUCGGGAGGCUGAAGCAGGAGGAUCGCCACUAGUUCGAGGCCAGCCUGGGCUACAUAGUGAGACCCUGUCUCAAACAAACAAAAAUGGCAAAGAGCAAAACAACACAACUGUUGUGAUGGGGCAUCACUACUGGGAGAGGCCCAGCCUGGGCUCAGAGCAACCCCGCAGGAGUCAGGCCCCGGGUGGGUUUUCAGUAAAAUCACAAAGCGCUCACACUGUGGGUGUGUACCAGCCACUGAGCGCGUUCCCUCUAAGGAACUGCAGAAUACUCACUCAAGCUGCCCCAUGUCCUCGAGAAAAUAGCUCACCCGGCCCUGGGAACCUGCGUUUGACAUUUCCUUAUACUUUUUUAAAGAGUAAAAUUUAUCAGGAAGGCAAUUUUGUUCUCUCUUGGUUUUUAAAUUCA